CGAGGAGAGGGGAGAAAGAGGCAGAAAAAGUGAUGAGAAGGGAGAGCAAACUGGACAAGACCCCUGUGGUUUCCUGGGCUCAGCUUCUCCCUGAAUGUGAGGGUGCUCAGAACACAGCUUUUACACAGGAGAAUGUUGAGUGCCUGGCUCUGAGGGACAAACUGAAAGGAGUAAAUCCCAUGACAGUAUCCAUUUAAUGGUGUGUAUUUCAAAGGCUGCAGGACUGAAGUGAGAGAGAAAGGCACUCUGAGAGAGAGAGGUGAGUGUGGAGAAAUGGGAAGAACUUGGUAACAAAUUAAAUGACAAAAAAGUCCAAUAUUAACUACUCUGCAAUAGAACUAUUCAGAAGUUUCAUAUCAAAGUCUUAAACUUGGAAAUGAGUGCUUUUUAGGGAGAAAGAUGAAUGGAUAGCAAUUUAAUGCAUCCACAUCAACACUGCAUAUAUAAAAAGUUUAUUUUGUUUAUUGUGUGUUUGGAUUGAUGUUGUACAUGGACAGGCAGAAGUUUGCCCAUAGAGAUGGGCCCAUAAAAUGGAUCUUGCCAGCAUUUUAGGUUUUCUAUCAUGUAAAGAGUCUACUCAGGAGACACUUCAGGUUUACACAAUGUAAACACAACUAAUUCCUUUUGCCUUGAGACUGAGAAGUCUCUGGAAUGCUGGGGUCCUUCUUCCAGCAGCUGCCAGAUGCAGCCUUGGUGGCAGGCUUUGGGGCAGCAAGAGCAGUCUCUGGUGCUGGCAGCACUGCCAGCCCUGCCCAUGCCCCACACCAGGUCCCCACUUCUUGUGAGCACUCUGAGAUACUUUGGUGUUCUAGGAAUGUUACAAGCUAAAGGGAAAGGCCAGGUCCUCCUAUUUUGCUGCCCUUGCAGGGCAGCACUGCAAAGAGCUGUCUUUGCUACAUCCUGAGACUUAGAUUACUAAGAUGGAAGGAAAUAAAUUUCAAGUAGGUAAAAAUAUGGGAGUACAAACUUGCUUUGUCUCUAGAUUCUAUGAGCUAGCUUGCCUAGAAGGACCAGUAAUUUUCAGCACCAAAAAAAUGACACUGUAAGACUAAAAGGAUUUUAAAAUGAAAAUAGGGGAAGGAGGGGGUAGGGAGAGGGAAAAAAUUUCGUUAUUCUAGAGCUGUUAAUCUGUUAACAAGAGAGGUAUUAUUUUGUUAUUCACGUCAGAGAUUGUCUCUCUGCCAAAUCCAUCACAAGAAAUUCUAGUAAUUAGUCCACACAGACACUUAUGCAUCUAAUCAGAUUUGAGAUACUUGUGCUCUUGGCACAAAUAAUGUUUUCUAGUUACUUAAGACCAGUUAAAUUGGCAUUUAGCUGAAGCUAUCACCUGCACUGAACAUGUGAACUUGUGCUUGUCAGUAAACUACCUCAGACUUUUUUGAUAGAGAAUAAAAGAGAGAGAUGAAAGAAAGCACUGGGAGGUGCCAAAACUUUCAAAGAAUCAUUGAGACUGGAAAAGACCUCUGAGAUCAUUAAAUCCUACUGUUAAGCUGGUGUCAUACUCACAACUAAACCUUGUUCCUAAGUGCCAAUUCCACUUCUUUUUUAUUAUUAUUAUUUUUUAACACUGCCAGAUAGCUACUGGAGAUUUACUGAGGGAGUAAAUCACACUACUGAGCAGAGAUCUUGUCCAGUGAUCUCAAAUACGUAUUGAAAAUAAGGAUUUUUAAGCAAGUAUUUCAUCAUGAUGCUUUAAAUGAUAACUUCAACUGAUUUGCUAUCAAUAACACUUUGUGGCAAUGUGGAAUUGUGACACUAAAAACAUGCUGGAGUCAGCAAGAUAAUUUCAGUUUUCAAGCAUCUGAAAACUCAUUUUAUUAUGUAAGGCACUAAAAAUAAAUUGGAAUAAAACCAUGUAUAUCUCCUUAAAAAGUGAACACAGUAAAAAGAAACAAUUGGCACAAUAUAUUUGUACUCCUGAAUACUAAUUCACUCGCAGAAAUGGUGCAAAAAGCAAAGGUUUUCUUUUCCUCAAGAGCUAGGAGUUGGUAAAAAAAAAAAAAUUACAUUCCUGUAAAUAAAUUCUGCUUUGGUCAUACUUAUUUUGGUUGAAUUGAUCCUUUUGUCAGAGAUCCAAGAUUAUCUAAUAAACAAUUUUUUCAAAGCAAAAAUGUAGCUAAAAUUAUCACCAUAAGUCUUAGUCCAGUAUUUAUACGUAAAAUGUCUGAUGCUUUUAAUGAAAAGAUAUACUAUUUUGAAUGAAACAAUAUAUUAUUUUCACAUGCAAAAAUCUAUCUCUAGUAAUUUGUGGAAACAGUAAAAAAAAAAUAUCAUACAAGAUUUCUCAUAAAACUUAUAUUAACUGGUCUGAGAACCAAAAGCUACCAUGUCACCUUGAAGCCUGACUGUAUGGCAUGAAUUAUGUGCUAAAAAUCAUCAGUGUGUCCCAAAACAACAACUUAGUCUCAACAAGUCAUAAAAGAAUGUGGAUUGCUGAUUGAUUGUCAAUUCUUGCCUUCACAGGAAAACAUUCAUCAAGCAGGAGGGCCAGAUGAGUGGGCUCAGAUUAGACACUGUGGAAAUCACUGCUCUCAUGAAUUAGAGAAAGUGAACCUCUGAAUAUCAGUGACAGAUUUUUACAGCAGAGGUGGCACAGUCUUUUACACCGAGCUUCCUGUAGUCACCAAGAAAUGCUUUCCUUUCUUCAAUGCACACAGAUUUUCAAGCAGAAGCUGCACCAUUACCAAGUAAUUUACAUAUAAAUUAAUCCAUAUUAGACCAUAUGAAUCACUCACUCCUUCACAGGAGUGAUCACCAUCCAGUUGGUCUGAUUGCCUAAGCCAACAUAUCCAUCAUCAUAAUUUGUUUUAAAUCAUUAGGUAGACACUCCCGUUAAUGGGCCUUGUGUUACAGUUCUACUGGAGACAGGCCUAAGGAACAAAGUCCAGCUCUGAAGUUCAAGUUUCCAGUUAUUUGGCACACUCAAGAGUGAUAUUUAAAUGCAUGAUGCUGCUUCAGGCUGUGCAAACAAGGUCUGAUGCACAGGAACACCAGGGAAAGCCAGGACCUUGCUGCCUCCAGUACAGACUCUAGGUGAAGGUUGUGUUGCUAAAUGUUCCUCUCACACAAUAUCACUCAAUCUUCAUUGCUUCCAACUUUUUCUUUAGCAACAACUGCCUCUAAUUUCUGCUAAAAAACCUGGUCGAUUAAUGCCUUGGUGGCAGCAGUUUAAUUUUCCUGGCAUGCAUUUCUUUUUCUGAAGGAACCUGUUAAGUUUAAGGAGUGAAGCUGUUUUGAGAGACCAGAAAUUACUGGGUAGUAGAUCUAUGAGCCUGGUAAUUCCCAGAGUCACUCAGCUUCCUCUGGGAGUUACAUGUUGGUUUCUACCACAGAAGACAGUACUUCAGAAUUAAAAAAAACCUAACCAACCAAUCCAGGCCAAAUCAGUCUUGACUAAUUUACUGCAGCAGAUGUGUGAAAGAUGCAUAAGAUGCAUAGAAUUAAGGAGCUUUUUUUUUUAUUUUUUUUUUCCUCCAUCUCAAGCCAAGUUAAAAUGAAAUACUCUCAUUAAAAGGUUAUCUGGUGUAACAACCUAGCCAGUAAAAGGCAGAAGGAGAAGGCUGUAUUAUUCUGUGAAUUGUUUUAUGAAGUAUCUCCGAUACUGACAAUCAGUGACCUAAAUCCUUCAACAAGGAGAGAUUUAUAAGAACUUGUCUAUGGAAGCAAAGUGUUUCUACUGACUUCAGGCAGCCCUGGGAUCAGGGAUUAGCAGAAUUGCUCAUAAAUAUGGCUUACAGCUACAGAAUGCCACCACUGGGAGCCUUCAAUAGGAAGCUAUGUGUAAACAUGCCUAUGGAAACAGUCUUCACAUACUGAUCAUGAAGUGGAUGGGAUUUAAUAGCUUCACAGACCUAUCUGUUGGACUUUGUAAAGGUGCUUUCCUUUAUUAGCUCACACCAUUUUUAUUUAUGCCCAUAGAAUUUUGCUGCCAGUCAUUUUUUUGUUCAGGGUUAUUUCAAAAUCUCCCACUUGGAAAAUCCCAACCUGUGGGACUCCCGUGUGGAUCAAGGAUGAGUGUAAAUCUCUACCUGGCACUAUCUUCUUAAAGGGCUGCAUUUUUGUUGUAGCUGUUGUUUCUCUUUUUUCUUUUUCUUUUAAUGAAUGGUAAGCAUUAUAAGAUGGAUCAGAUAGAAUUUAAAUAUCACAAGCUGUUAAAUACUAAACACUUCAGGAAUACUUAAUUAAGCAGCAUUACGCAGCAUGUGGCCAGGCUCUGAGUGGCUAUCACAUUCCUGGGAUGGUAUCACGCUGGAAAAGCCCAUCUGAUUACCUUUAUUAACCAUCUCAGAACGGUAGUAAUUAACUACUGCAGAAAUUUACUGUCAAAAAAAGCACAUUGUUAUCAGUGAAAUUAAUGCAAGUUUUCACAACACUGCACUUUAUGGGCAUUACUGCCACACACAAAGCAGUACUGGCAAAUAAUUUCGCAGCCCAUUUGAGUUCAGGUAAUAUUAAAGCUGUUACAUAAUACAAAUUUUAAGCUGGAUAAGUAGGUGGAGUAGAGAUUGCUGCUACCUGUGUGGUGCUGGCAAUCUGUGACUAGCAUCCUCUGAUAAAUGAAAAUGGUGAAUCUUAAGUCUGGUCUUCAGAGACUGCGGCUACAUCCACUCUGUGAAAAUGUAUUCUGAUUGCAUGACUGUACUUUGACAUUAACUGCCAAAACUGCAGCCACUGUGGGUUUGAUGUGGCUACGCAUAUCAUUACAGCAAGAAAUUAAUUCAAGGAUCAUCAUGUCAGGGCAGCUUAGUGACUGGGGCCUGGUAUACUGCUGAAAGUACUGAGCUUCCUGCCUGAGCAAGGUAAACUAUCAGACCCCUACAAUUAAUGGUCACUUUAGUCAUUGCACCCUCCAUCACCGUGCUGCUCCUAACCCCAUGUGUUCAACAAGGGACAAAUUGCUUUCUACAUAAGUAAAUCUUUGGCAGAAGCAAGGAGAGAUGCGUGCUAAUGUAUCCCAGCUGCUGAUUAAACAUGUCAAAACCUUAAACUGCCUUUUUUCUUGCAGCUCCAUGUGUGAUUGUUUUCACUUCUUGCCCAAAGCUGCUGGGAAUUUGUGCACAGCAAACCAGUGACUACAUGUACCCCAUGGAUCAUUGCUGGGCAAAGCAACAUCUCCAUAUACUGUCUUUCCAGAAUCCAUUAGUAUGCCAAGGAGUGAACUAUUCCAGCCCCUUGAGCAGCUUCAAGGACACAUCACACCAUUUAAAAUCUCUCUGACAGAAAAUAUGUCUUUUGUCUUCCCUUAGAAGGGAGCGAUUGCCCAAGCCAUUCAUAUUGAGCCCAGGGUCAGCAAUGGCUUUCCCAAACAUAAAAUGGUGUGACUUUGAAGCCCAUUCUCACUGCCUCGCUGGGUCAGAAAGCAGGAUUUUUAUUCUUUUUGAAAAGGGGAGAAUUGCCACUUGCCAGUACUUGCUUCUGAACUCUGGGAUGGGCAGAAACAGCAAAUGUAGUGUCAUGAUACUGGCAGAGUGAAAAAAGGAGUUUGAGAAAGGAUGUUGUGACAUAUGCCAAGACCUGAGCUAUUUGAGUCAAAAUUACAGAAACAACCAGUUUUACUUUAUGAGUUAGAAAAUUUCUCAUAUAACGAAUCAAAAUUAUCUCAAAUGUUCUUGAAAUAGCCUUUUUUUAGCAGAUGUCAUGAAAAGACAGUGGAAGGAAAUGAUGCAUGUUUAUAUUAUGACCAUUUCAAACCAAUGUUGAUUACCUCUUUGUGUCAUAUUUCACCAACAUAUAUUAUAUAUCAAGUUGGCAAAGUACUCUAAUAUCUUUCAGGAUUAUAAGCAUUAAAUUGGGGCAAGAUAGUGUUAUUUAAUAAUCCAUUUAGUACAUUAGUUAUAAAAUAAAUCAGUGUCACUAUUGACACUUGAUAUUUCUUGCACACUAUUCCUCUUCAGGAUUUACCACUGGCUCAUUUAUGCAGGCGAAAAAGACAAAAAGGAAAGACAGUAACUUGUGAACCAGGAGACAUUUUUAAAACAUGUUUUAAAAUUAUACUGCUAUUUUUCAACAUCUGCCUUUGGCAGCCUUUCCUCCCUCAGAAUAGUUACUAGUCAAGGCAUUAUUAUUGCAUAUGUUCUGAGGAUGUAGGAUACUCUUCAAAAGGCUUUAUUUAAAUGAAAUAAAAUCUGUAAGCACACUCAUUCCCAACAGCACAGUAUAAACAUUUAACAGAAAUAAAACAACAAAAAUCUGGGGACCGGAUGAGAAAAUGAGUUCAAAUUCAUACUCAUUCUCACUGAACAGUCUCAUCCUUGGUCUCUGUACUGUUUAAUUCUCUUAUUAUGAGGAAAAAGGUUGAGUCAAGAGAAAGUGUGAGUCCCUGAAGGGGGACUGUGUAGAUGCUGCAGCACUGAAAAGUGAUUACUAAGAGACUGAUAAUAAAAAUAGCAGUGAAUCACUUGACUGACGCUGAGUUACUACUGGAAGUAUGGCACCACCAGCUUGCCUGAUGCACAGACAGAUUUUUCUUCAGUUUCCAGAUUCCUGCAAUUAUGUUGUUGUUGUUGUAAGCAACAAAAUAUUUCAAAUAAUGAUAGCAAUUAACAAUGAAAACAUACAUUAUGAGACUCAUGCAGUGUGCUCAAGGCAUGAGCACACACAAUCCUUCUUUCUCUUGAUACUACGGAAAUAUCUUUACAUCAUAGGAUAGCAUUUAAAGUCUCCAUACACUCUUUUCCUUUUGGGCUUGACAUAAGAACUCUGGAUUGACAGAGUAAAAUUGUCUGAGUAGGUAAAGGUGAGCCUUAAAGCAAUUUUCAAAACUGAACUCUCAAUAUUUAAGCCUUACUGAGGAGAAGGAACACAAACAUCCUGGAGCUUUGUGCUCAGACCAGCAGCAAAGGCCCAGGUGUCCCAGGUGAGAUAAGGUGGCAUUGAUUUGCCUGAAGUCCAAGGCUGUGGUCCUUAGAUCACCUUCCUGCAUCUUUUAGAAAUGGAUUUUGCAGCAGCAGGAGCUUUUGUCAGGAGGUUUUUCUGGGAAGGCUGUCUCCAACUCCAAGGUUCCCUUCUCAGCCCGAGGAGGACCAUGAGGAGCACCAAGGCUCUAAGCAGUGUGUGUGUGUGGAGCACUGUGCCCUUUCUUGCACCUUCAGAAUUCCUUACACAGGUGCAGUACUGGAUACCAAAAUAAAGUGCAAAAGCACUGUCUAAAUCCCAGCAAGCCUUAUAUAGGCUUUUUUUUUUUUCUUAUUUGCUAUUUAGUCUUCUUUCCUAUAUAUAGGAAAUAUAAGACAUGACCUAGGUGAAAUGAAUUUGAAUUUGCAGACUGGUGAUGAGGGACAAGCGUGAAUACUGAAACACAGACACUCAGUGAAGUGGCCAAUUCUUUACAGUCUUGAGGUAUAACAUCUCUAAGAGAUAGAAAGGAGUUAAUUGAACAGAAUAAUGAAGAUUGUUCUAAUUCUGUUUUGUUACUUAAUGCCAACCAGAGUUAGUGACAUGUAAAAAGUGAGAACUCUAUGCUAUUAAAAAGAUGCCUGAAAAAUGUAAGGCUGGUUGUUCUUGAAACCUAUCUUUUACACUAAACAAAACCCACCAAUUUAGCUUCCUCAAAGAGUUAUUGAUUUUAGAUUCUCUUUUAAAUCAGCAAUUAAUAGGAAACUGCCCCUUUGUGCUAAUGCAAAUUUGUUUACUCACAGUAGGUGUUUAGAUUUUUAACAUUAGUUUCUAAAACACAUUCUUUUAAAGUACACAAAUCAGCUUUUUAUUAUUAUUAUUGUUUCCUUUUUAUAAAGAGAGAUUUUGGUUCAGAAGAGACUGUGAAUAAAUGCUCUUGGACUUUUUGUAAAGGCCACUCAUUGACUGCAACUCCCACUGAAGUCCGUGGGAGUUUUUUCACAGACUUCAAGGUAUUAGUCUGAUCUGGGUGAAUUGACUGUAGCAAAAGUGCUUUAAUAAAAGCAGAAUUUGUGACACCAAUACUAUAGCUCACAGCCACUUUUUCUAGUCAGUCUGUGAAUUUACAAGGCUAAAUACAAAGGAAGCACUGCCUCCACAGAAACACAUUUCAGGGAAUGGUUUGAAGAGUGAGGCUUAAUUUUUAAAAGGAAAGCAAAAUAAAUAAGAGAAUAUGUAAGACAUAUUUACAGGUACUUGAGCUGGUUGAGGGAGGAAUGAAGGAUAGAGACAGGGAGAAAUUGCUCGAAUAACUGGAAAUGGGGAGGUGGCCAAAGUCAUAGCAGUGGAUGCAGAUAGGGGAUGUGCAUUUACAGGAACUCCCAUGGCUUGAUGCCAAGCUCAGAGCUGAAUUGACUCCUUCCUGGAAAAGCUGCCAUGAGCUGAAGGUGCUCCCCCAGCUGGGGUCAGGAGGACCAGGAGAACACUGGUUGUACAAGUAUUCAGAAAAUUUUAACUAUAGGGAAUUUGUGAUAGCCUUGUUCAGGUCAUUGCCCUUCCAGUUUCUGCAGGAGUCACAGGCAUCUAUAGCUAGGAAGAGAUUUUUAUUUUUUUUUUUAAUCUAAGUCUCCAUGGUGCAGUAACAUUUAAUCUGACAGCAGGAGGUUGGGGUUGUUGACAUGCUUAAGCCAUUUUUUGUGAUACCCUGUGAACUGAAGAUAUCACCUGGAAAGGUUUUUAACCCCACAAAGAUUGUCUAUUUCUAAUUAUUUAUUAUCUUUGCUCUUACAGAAUUUUCCUGUCUUACAUUUAGGACAUUGAUUCUUUUGCAGCCAUCUUGUGAUAACAUUAAUAAUCCCCUUUUUUCAUUUGUAUUAUCUCCUUGGAAAUAUUUAUAGACUAUGUUCAUAUUCCCCUGAUUCCUUCUUUCUGUAGAGAGAAUUAAUUUUGUUUCCUCAGUCAUUCUCUCUGCUAUAUGUUAGACUAUAAUCCUUCCACAGUGUCAUUUUCUUGCCCUUCUAUGCAUUGUCUCUUCUUUCACAAUAUCAUUUUUAAUCAUGGACAAGAGAACUGCAUGUAACUUCUUAAAUAUAAUUGAAUACAUGUUAUCUGCUCUUUCAGAACUCUGCUCAACUGAACAAAGUGUAAGGCCAAGAUGAUACCUUCAACCUCCUUGUCAUGUCAGAGCACUCAUGCUAAACUGCACUUAGUUUAUUUUAGUCUCAAAAUACUAUGGAGAAGAGAUAUCCACCCACACAGCAUUAACAUUUCCAACAGGUAAAAAAGGAGGGACAGAAGGUAUUGAAUUUAAUCUCUUUUUAUAAUUUCACUUGUAGAAUUAGAGACAGAAAGAGCCAUCAUUGAUACUUUUACUGAGCAUUUUUCAAGGUAUAUUGGUACAACACCUCAAGAGGAUUUCGACUUUUAAUUGCCCUAUAAUACUUGGUGGGUGUCCAGCUAUUGUCCUGUAGUUUAUCACCAAAUCCAGCAGUGUAUAAGUUUAAUUCAGAGAGAUGCUCUAUAGAGACAUACUGGUUUGGUUUAGAUUAGAAAAAAUAUUAGGACUGCAAUCUGUUCUUUUGAUUCAUAUAUCUGUUCAUUUGUUCCUGUAAUAGUACCACAUCUACCAGCCUCAUUAAGCAUAAUAGACCCAUAAGUUCCUGGUGGGUUAUAGGUUUCUAAAGUGUUACAAAGUAAUUCUUGUCACUAUAAUUUAAACAUGAUGUUGUUGUUAUUACUGAAUCUAUUUUAUGGACCUUUUUUCCUAACCAGAUAUAUGCAGAAAUGCUUGGUUGUAUAUUGCUCUUGGCUGCAAUGGUAAAAAAAUCUGGGUAAUUACAGCUGACGAAUGGUGGGUACUGAGCUCUUGAAUACCUACAGCAACCUUCUGCCCUAGCACACCUCACAGUGAAAGUGCUGCAGUAUAAUGCUAAUGAAGAAUAUUACCUACCUGGCUCUGAAAACAAGCCCAAAUUGUGCUCAUUAUGCAUGAAGGUACUCAUAUUCACUGUCAGGAGCUUUGCCAAUGCGCCUUUUUGAUGUGAUCAAAUGACAGAACAACCCAAGGCAUUAUUGAAUCCUACACUCAGAACUUGUAGAUUUUUGUCUGUAGAAAAUAGUGCUGCUCUAGUCAUUCAUCAAUAGUAGCCAGAAAACAAUGCAUCUUGUAUUCCAGGCAAGGAGAUUCCAGUCAAGCCCUAGAUCAAGAUAAAGACAUUUUUGUAUUCUGCAUUAUACUUUAUCUGUGAAGGGUAGCAAGCAAAAUAAUGCAUCUUGCUUUUAUAAUACUAUUUCUUCAUCUCAUAGAACCAUAUUUUGUAAUUACCCAGCAUUCCUUUAAAGAUCUUAAAGGGUUUGUCAGCAUCAACUGGUACAACCAAACGACCUCAGUGUUUUUCAAGUACAUUGACAGUUGCUAUUAUAUACCCUAAAUGCAUUCAUUUGUCAGCUACUCACUAUUUGAAACAUCUGUAGUGGUGAGGUGAUGGUUGGAGAGCCAGUCUCUAAUAUUCAGAAUCAAGCUCCUUCCAGAUAUCAUCUAGCAUUUCAAGCCAGACUGGGUGGAAGUGGACACAAGAGAUACAACUAAAUUGUAUCUCAAGAGCUGAUCAUGUUCAGUACUCAUUAAAGGAUUCACAUUACCUUAGCUGCACACUGUUUAGGUGAAACCAGGGUGAACAAUGGGAGCAACAUGUUUUAAACACUCUGGAGUAGUUCCAGCAAGCCCUGCCUGUGCCCCUGCAGAUGGAUGGUCAAAACCACUGGAUAGACAUCCUUUGCACUCAAUGGGAAAAGAAAUAUUAGGCUACAGAAUGCCUGGAGGGGAGACCCUUUUCACUGAAGUACACUGAAGGAUGUAUAACUCAUGGAUUAGCUAAAGGACAUAUUCACUGGAAAAGCACAGGACACAGGAAAGCAAAUUCAGUCUGGUCCUGCCCACUAUUUUUUGCCUAGAAUUUAGGUUAUCCUACAAGGGCUUGGGUUUUCCCAGCCUGUGUUAUCAUAGUUGUUUUAUAAUCCUGUGAAGUUCUUAUUUGCCUUAGGAUUUUUUCCAAUAAAGUUCUCUACUUUUGUUUCUGGAAAUAAUUUGUCCUUUGCUCUUCUCUAUCUAGAAGACAGAGAUCUAGAUCAUUGGCAUCUAACAAAUUAUAGAGGGAUAUAUAAAACCCAAUACUACCGGUCAUGACAAAAACUUUGCCUGGAAAAUAUACACAUUUUCUUAUAAUUUCAAUAUUUGCUUAUUUUACCUCAUACCUUAUGAAUCUGUCAGGAAUAUCAUAGAGUGGCAGAUCUUUAAAUUUUUUUUUAGAGUUUUUUUUUUUUUUCUGAACUCAAAUUAAAAAAAAAAGUCUCACCAGGGACACUGGUAAUUAGUUUUCCUAGUGUAUUAGCUUUUCCCCAUGUUUUUUCUCUCAGUCUUGUGCUUAAACAUGGGAGAUGAAGAAAGAAAUAUUUGCAAAAACUGUGCUAUUGCAAAUGUCAAAAUGUUCAAGGUUACAAGUGGAUUAUUAAUCAUCUGAAAGGACUCAGUUGACAAUCCAUAAAAGGCAAAGUUUUUUAUUUCUGUGAAAGAUAUCUUUUCUAUCAAAUCAGUUCUUCUUGGCAGAGUGACAACAUUGGGUCAAUAAUUACUCCAGCCAUUGAAGCUGAUUUUGAAACCUUAAAUCAAAUUCAGGUAAGACCUGGUGUAUAAUAACCAAGAGCUUUCCUACAGCUUUGCAAUACUGAGUAGACUCACAUAACAGAAAACUACACACAAAACAGAAGUCAGUGGAAGCAUUUUGGCUAUGAUACAAGUAAUAGACCAUAAGACUUAACUGGAAUCCCCUCACACUUUCUACGCAUUUACUGUUCCUAAUAAAACCUCAGAUAUCCUGGAAAAUGAUCAGAAAGAAUGUAACACUAAAUAAAUCUGGGCAGCUCAGAAGAUGAAAGCAGCCAGAAUCAUAUUUUACCCUGGGGACAAAACUACAAAUCUACCUUCAAGCCAACAAUGAUGGAAUUCAACACUGAAUGAAAAUUCUCAUUCAUGUAGAAAUUUUAUGCCAUGUAGGAAAAAUCCCUACAAAAUCACAAGUGACUCUUGACCGACAUUGGCCUACAUCUUCAAUCAAUGAAGUAAUUUUUUUAAUCUAUAAAGAGUAGAGAAUUUUGAUUGCUUCUUGUGAAAGUGUGGAGGCUCUUUUCUGUGCAGGUUCCUUCUUUUAAAAGUGCAGAAGAAGAUUAUAGCCUAAAGGAAAUGACUAAAAGCACCAGAAAUAAAGCAAAAAAAAAAUGUUGUCUUCUGUCACCGGAAAAAAGCUCAUGCUGCAAAUGUACGUGUUUUUCUGUGUGUAUAUUUUCCCACAGAGAGCAUGAGUGGAAAAAAGUGACAAAAGUGAAAAAAAAAUCACCUCAGAGUUUCAGUGAAAUAAAAAAAGUUUAAGAAGCUUUGCACCUCUGUCUCCCAAGCUUGCCUGAAUCAACCGGGAGAGCAAUAAUGUUUGGAAGGCUGUUUGGCAGUGGGUUUAAGAGCCUUUCCCACUUGGCAUGGUUAUUGAACUCGGAGAUUAUUGCUGGUGUUAUUGCCUUUGAGCAGGGCUGAACACAAUGUGUGUCAUGUACCCACCACUGCCCACUGAAAAUCUAUGGGAAAGCAGUCCUGGUACCCCAUGGCUGGCCAGAGUUGUUCUGACCUCAAACAGUAACUGGGGUCUUGCAGAUAAGAGCCCCAAAAUGCUGUGAUGUAGCAGAAAUGCUCCUCUGUCAUCAGUACUGCUCAGGAAUCCAUGUCUCUAGCAAACCAGGCUUCCCACUGAGAGCUCACCAAGCUGAACACCUUCAGUACAUACCUUAUUAAUGAUUAUUCUCUUGUUAAGUAGUCAAAUAAGAUGUCUUGAGAUUGCUUUGGGGGAGUGGAGAGAGACAGGUAAGAGAUACACAUUUUUUUAAUGAGCAAACUAGCUUAAUUCUCUAGAAGCCAUUAAGCUACAGCACCAGAUGUGAGUUGGGCUGUAAGAAUUUUGUAGUGGGUUGAUUCCUCUGUGGGGGAAAAAUGAGUGCUGCAUAUGUUUGGGAAAUAAUUCUGAGUAUGUUUUAUUCACAAACAACAAAUACUUAAGGUCAUGUUCACCUUGUAAAGAGAUUGCAAAAACAACAAGCAACCUACAUAUAAUCAAUCUAUCAUCAAGACUUCAGCUGGAAACACACCUGUGUCCCAGACUGUGCUAUCAGCAGCUGCUGCCUGUCUUUGUCACCUCCAUACAAGCACUGGGACCACCUUUAGGAAAUAUUUUGCACUGGUUAUUUUUUGGAUAUAUGGAUUUUUUAAAAUUUUGGAUGUUGAAAUAAUGUAUUCCUGCAGACCACCAGGAUGGAUGGAAUUUAGCCUGCUGCUACUGGAUGUGACUAUAUGACCUCUAUUACAAAUCAUCCAUAAACACAAAAAUUUCUGUCAAAAGCCAAGCUCAAUUAUAAUAUCAAAAGCCAGUGCUCUUAUUCGUGGUAGUAGCAAAUGUGGAGAAGGAGAUAACUGAUAUAGCAUUAAAUAUAAUAAUUCCCUUACUUAAAAAGAAAAAAAAAUCUACAGACCCUGAACAAACCAAAAAUAUACACAUUUGAACAGGCAGAAUGUUUUUGUACUGGUUUAUGACUUUGCUUAUGGAGGCUGUGGCUUUAAUCCAGUACAAAAUACUGAUUCAAUGGCUCAGGAACCACAGCUCAUGCUUAUUAGUCAUUAUGAUGUCAGAUCUCUCCUACCUACACAUAAAUGGUAUCAGCUGCUCUCUUUGUACCAAACAUUUGCUGUCAGGGUGGUACCUGAGGGGUGCUCAGCACUUGACCUGCUCUGGCUCCUGGCACUCUCUCUGACAGACUGGGUUCUGUGAAAGCCAAGUGGCAGCACCAGCUGGAGCUCUGCUGCCACAAACUCCCCAGAUCCUUGGCCCAGAGCUGAAUCUGGUAUUGCAGGAGUUGGAACUAAUAAUAAAGUUCCUUUCCCUCACUCUACAGUGAGGAAAAACCUGUUUGAAACAGACUAAGGACUCCUUCAGGCUGGGCAAUGUUGCAUUUACUAAAGAUCCAGGGCUCUCAUGUUUAAUUUCUGCAAAAGAUGCUACUGGAAGGAAAAUGAUGGCACAUAGCCAAGUAGUGUGAGCUCUGUCAAACUUGCAUCAGAAUGACUGUGCUAUUUGAUGGAAGACAAUAUUUGAUGCCAGCUAUUUCUGUUCAAGAAGAAGAUAAAAUUGUAUCCCUUUGCUCUCCUCCCAGUCACUGGAAAAAUACACAUAUACUUUCAGUGAUAUUUCCUUUUAAGGCUGAAGAAAAUUCCUACUAAGGAUGAAUCAAGUGGGAGAAAAUUUAGUAAGCAUUUUUGUUGCUAGGAAUAAUUUAAGGAAAUUAAUUUUGGUUUAAGGGGCUGCCCUCAGGCAGAGCUGCAUGCUGUCUUGAGGGCACUGUGUCAGUAAAGACAAAGAGUUAAAUACUGCCAGGCAUCUCCAGGUAAAGUUGGGUAGACUAAAGCCAAUUUUAUUUAUACAUCACUUCUUUCAGAGGGUAAAGUUUAAGAGUACAAUAAAGUUCAAAAGCCUUAGGGAUACUACAGCAAUAAAACACCAUAUAGACAGAAGUAACAAGUCAGUAGUGAAUUAUCACCUGACAUGAGCUGUGCAGGCUUAUAAAAAUUAGCUUCUAAUGUAAGACAUAUCUGGACUUAUUAUAGAUGAAGUUUCAGAACAUAUUUCUUCUAUUUUACUUUUUUAUUCUUUCUAAAAAAAUAUUUUAGGUAUGUUUUCAAACAGUAUCCAGAAUUCUUUUGGAAAAGAAAAUAAAUAUUACAACCUCCAUGGUGUGUCUGUUAUGUUUGAGCAUGAUUAGUACUCUGUGGCCAUUUUUGUGUGCAUUUGGUGCUCUAGCCCUUUUGUUUUAGUAUUCCAAAGCAGUGACUUUUCAUGUGAUAUCCAAAAAUUGCUACUAAUUUCUCUCUUACUACAGGAACCAAAAAUUCUAUACUUUAUGUAUGAUCCCAUUUUAAAAGUCAAGCCUUUUCAGUUUUGUAACAUAACAUCAAUAACUUUUCAUAAUUGUAAUCCCAUAAAGUUCAACAGAAAUUGAACCUCUCUUUUCAGCUACCUUAACAGUUUAGUUGUUUCACUGAAUUGACUGGAAACCCUAUUUGUGACUCAGAAAGCUCUUUCACCAUUUGAUUUCUGAUGUUGUGUCAUUAACAUAAAAUUAAUCAUUACUUGGUUUUUCUAUACUUACAGCAGAUAAUGUUUUUACCUAGGAGGUAAGAGUACACUACUUGUUAUUAAUAUGUAAGUAAUCAAUGUUUUGCAAUCAUGUUGGUAUAUUAAGAUACCUAAAUUAUAGAGACUGUCAUAAAAGCCUAAAAGUUUAUAAUUAUAUUUGACAGUCUCAAAAAGUAUAGAUAGUUCUCUUUCACCAUAGCAUAGAAGAUGCUUAAUUGUGCACCAUCUAGGCUAGGAAAAUUAAAUCCUUAGAAACACUGUUAUGUGUUUGUUGAAAUUUAAUAUGAAGGAAUAGAGCCAAUAACAUGAAUUUCAUUUGCAGAAAGAACAAAAAUGUUGUAUUGACAAAUAAAUAGAUAUGUUUAGUAAAAAAAAAUAUCCUCUUUUAUAAAACAAAUGAAAGAAGUGUCACUGAAAAAUGGACUGUCAGAUUGCUGCUGGUCUAAUGCUGUUCUUUCUGCAAUGAACAUUAUGCAUUAGUGAGCUGAGAGCAACAAACUGGAAUUAUUUUGAGAUACUACAUAUUAUUUCUUUAGAAUAAUACAAUCAGCUAUUCCAUCUCGGGCAAAUCGGUCCCUUAAGCUAUUAAUGUAUCCUGAUUAUUUGUCUCAUAAGCAGCCAAAUGGAACAGAAAAAAAGCAGGAGUUGUACUUUCUUAGUGAAUUUCUCCUAUGUGGUAAACAUGCUUGCAGAAACAAUUAAGCACCCUGAAAAGAACAUCUCUCAUUUCCUGUGAAGCAUAGCUGAAUUUGGUAUCAGCAUCUGUGAAUACAAGAAAGUUUCUGCAAUACCUGGUUAAUCUCUACAUAUUUGUGAAUAAAUUGUCAUUUACAGUGA